rnacentral:lncRNA from 1 species
CAGAACGGUCAAAGUAAAAUGUAGAAUAAAAUUCAAAAACCAACUCAUAAUAUGCAGGUUCAUCAAUAGCAGCAAAAUAUGUCCACCCAAUAGCAUCAAAAUAUUGAUUAACAGAUUCUUCAAUAUCUAAAGAAUAUAAUGAGAAUAAGUCGACGUGCUUACAUAUUGGAAGAGGGCGAUGUUGGAUUUGUUCGAAUUGUGCUUGAUGUGCCGGGUUCGUGAACGUUAGAUUCCCGUGAAAUCUGUUCUCCG